UACGUAGGGCGCAAGCGUUGUCCGGAAUUAUUGGGCGUAAAGAGCUCGUAGGCGGCUUGUCACGUCGAUUGUGAAAGCCCGAGGCUUAACCUCGGGUCUGCAGUCGAUACGGGGCUAGCUAGAGUGUGGUAGGGGAGAUCGGAAUUCCUGGUGUAGCGGUGAAAUGCGCAGAUAUCAGGAGGAACACCGGUGGCGAAGGCGGGUCUCUGGGCAGUAACUGACGCUGAGGAGCGAAAGCAUGGGGAGCAAACAGG
rnacentral:rRNA from 1 species